CCUACGGGAGGCAGCAGUGAGGAAUAUUGGUCAAUGGGCGCGAGCCUGAACCAGCCAAGUAGCGUGAAGGAUGACUGCCCUACGGGUUGUAAACUUCUUUUAUAAAGGAAUAAAGCGAGGCAUGUGGUCCUCUUUGUAUGUACUUUAUGAAAGAGGAUCGGCUAACCCCGUGCGAGCAGCCGCGGUAAUACGGAGGAUCCGAGCGUUAUGCGGAUUUUGUGGGUUUAAAGGGAGCGUAGAUGGGUGGUUAAGUCAGUUGUGAAAGUUUGCGGCUCAACCGUAAAAUUGCAAUGGAUACUGGCAGUCUGGAGUACAGUUGAGGUAGGCGGAAUUCGUGGUGUAGCGGUGAAAUGCUUAGAUAUCACGAAGAACUCCGAUUGCGAAGGCAGCUUACUAAACUGCAACUGACAUUGAUGCUCGAAAGUGUGGGUAUCAAACAGGAUUAGAUACCCUAGUAGUC
rnacentral:rRNA from 1 species